UACGUAGGUGGCAAGCGUUGUCCGGAUUUAUUGGGUUUAAAGGGUGCGUAGGCGGCCUAUUAAGUCAGUGGUGAAAUACCCCGGCUCAACCGGGGGGGUGCCAUUGAUACUGAUGGGCUUGAGUACAGACGAGGCAGGCGGAAUUGACGGUGUAGCGGUGAAAUGCAUAGAUAUCGUCAAGAACACCUAUAGCGAAGGCAGCUUGCUAGACUGGCACUGACGCUGAGGCACGAAAGCGUGGGGAUCAAACAGG
rnacentral:rRNA from 1 species